GAGUGUAAAGCUCAGUGGUAGAGCGCAUGCCUAGCAUGCAAGAGGUCCUGGGUUCAAUUCCCAGUACCUCU
rnacentral:tRNA from 1 species